GCGAUCGAUGACGUCAGACGCUCAGAAUUUUAAUUUAAACGAUGGCCUAAUCAAGACUAGAAAAACAGUUUGAAGAAAUGACCAGACCUAGAGCUAAGCUGAGAUACUGUUAUGAACAGACCGGCUUCCUCCUUUAUGACUGUACAACUGCUGUUCAAGCCCUGCUUUCCUGAUCAGCCAUGAACGCAUUGCGACCGAUGUCCUGGUUUGCCUGUGUGAUCCUGCAUGAACUCAUUAUGAACGACAUGGUGUUCUCCUAGUCUCAUCCUCCAUGAACUCGUUAUGAACGACAUGGUGUUCUCUUUGUCUCAUCCUCCAUGAACUUAUUAUGAAUGAUGUUGUUGUCUCCAUAGCUGAUUCUCCUUGAACUUGUGACUGCUGUAGUGUUUUUAUCUGGUCCUCCUUGAAUGCAUUGCCACUGAUGUUCUGGCUUGCCUGUAUGGUAUUGCAAGAACUCAUUGCCACUUAUGUCCUGGUUUGCCUGUGCGAUCCUCCUUGAACCCAUUGAUCGCAUUGUGACUGAUGUUCUGGCUUGCCUGUGUGGUAUUCCAUGGACUCAUUGUCACUGAUGCCCUGGUGUGCCUGUGUGAUCCUCUUUGAACUCCUUGAUUGCAUUGUCACUGAUGCCCUGACUUGCCAUUGUGAUCCUCCUUGAACUCCUUGUGAAGGACGUGGUGUUCCAGUCUGAUCCUCCUUGAUCGCAUUGUCAUUGAUGUCCUGGCUUGCCUGUGUGGUACUCUAUGAACGCAUUGUCACUGGUGUUAUGCCCAACUUGCCUGAUCCUUCUAGAACGCACUGAGACUGGAUAGUUCUUGUCGUCUGCAUCUACACUGUCUGCCAUUUCAACACACAUUUAAUACUGAUACAGAUAAAAGGAGGUAUACAGCCCUUGCUACCUGUUGAUUACGUCAUUAUCUAAGGAAAUGCGUCACCUGACGUCUCGUAAUCUGUAACGCCGCAUACAUCCCCGUGUAGUGACGUAACAUAAAUCAGCUGAGAGAAGAGUGAUGUCAGGGUACAAAGGUAAAAUGCAGUACAUUUUAUAAUAAUUAUGCUAAAAUUAUAAGAACCAUUGAACUAUAAAAUGUUUCUGGCACUCGUCCUUUGCUAGAUGUUUUUUUCUGACACUCAUCUCAAGAAAAUCAAUCUUUGGAGCUCGCUAAAGCUCUCUAAAGCUCGCUCCAAGAAUUGAUUAUCUCGAGACUCAUGUCAGAAAAAAACAUCUACAAAAGGACUCAGCCAGAAACUAUUAUUCUAGUUCAAUCAACCAGUAGAAAGGUUCCAGAAAGCCAUGCUAGAAAAACAGUCUAGCACACGUCCUGUACUCGGUAAUGCUCCCUUUUCGUUGGUUUAGGAGGUAAACUGUCGUUGCUACCUGUUAAUUGCAUCGUUCCAUAAUCAAAGGCAGUACGUGGUAUCACGUAAUAUGCAACACUGCAUACAUUUCUUCUAAUAUAAUAAUAAUAAUAAUAAUAAUAAUAAUAAUAAUAAUACAAUUCCUUAUAAUAAUUA
rnacentral:lncRNA from 1 species